AGAUAGGUAGUUUAAGUAAAACUUUUGGUUUCGGCCCGUUUAUUUUUGGUUAUAGUCCAAACCUUUCUU
rnacentral:tRNA from 1 species